CAGUUCGGAUCGGAGUCUGCAACCCGACUCCAUGAAGCUGGAUUCGCUAGUAAUCGCGCAUCAGCCACGGCGCGGUGAAUACGUUCCCGGGCCUUGUACACACCGCCCGUCAAGCCAUGGAAGCCGGGAGUGCCUGAAGUACGUGACCGCAAGGAGCGUCCUAAGGCAAUACCGGUGACUGGGGCUAAGUCGUAACAAGGUACC
rnacentral:rRNA from 1 species